GGGCCGUUAGCUCAGUUUGGUAGAGCAGUUGACUCUUAAUCAAUUGGUCGAAGGUUCGAAUCCUUCACGGCCCACCA
rnacentral:tRNA from 2 species